CUUCCUAGCUCAUACAACAAAAAGAAGAAGAAAAAGAUCAAAAUGGCUCUUACAAAACUCAACAAAGUGGCCUUUGUUGCUCUCCUUGUCUGCUUCAUCCUCAUUGCAUCAUAUGAAACACAAAUGGUUGAAGCAAAGAAUUGUAUGAAACACAAAAGUUGGGACGGCAGCUGCCCCAUGAUGAAAUGCAAGAGUUGGUGCAAAGGCAUGGGGGGCUACAAGUGGUAUUGUAAGAGUAAACAAUGCUACUGCGAAUAUAAGUGUGGUAGUUAAAUGGGAAUAUUUUUAUCUUGCACUAUUUUCAUACCACCAAAGUAGUGCAUCAUAAUAUAAAUCUUACUCUAUCAUGUAAUAAAAAUAAAUAAAUGUUGCUACAUACAAAUGACUCGAGUCAUUUUGUCACAGAGCAACAAUUGUGUGUUGUAAAAUGUACACGUGACACUAGUUGUGUGUAUUUUAAUGUGUGUUGUGUGAUGAAUACUAUCAUUACUAUAUGUAUAAUGAGCCGUAUUUGAGUUUUAA